UACAGAGGGUGCGAGCGUUGUUCGGAAUUAUUGGGCGUAAAGCGCGUGUAGGCGGCUUUGCAAGUCGGGUGUGAAAUCCCUCAGCUCAACUGAGGAAGUGCGCCCGAAACUGCAGAGCUUGAGUACCGGAGAGGAUGGCGGAAUUCCCGAAGUAGAGGUGAAAUUCGUAGAUAUCUGGAGGAACACCGGUGGCGAAGGCGGCAUCCUGGACCGGCAUUGACGCUGAGGAGCGAAAGCCAGGGGAGCAAAGC
rnacentral:rRNA from 1 species